UAAAUGGACCUACCAACGACGUCGAUCGAGUAGCUGGUCUGAGAGGACGAUCAGCCACACUGGGAUUGAGAACGGCCCAGACUCCUACGGGGGGGCAGCAGUGAGGAAUUUUCGUCAAUGGGGGCAGCCCUGAACGAGCAACGCCGCGUGCAGCAAGAAGGUUUUCGGAUCGUAAACUGCUUUUCUCUGGGACGAGAACGGACGGUACCAGAGGAAUCAGCCUCGGCUAACUACGUGCCAGCAGCCGCGGUAAUACGUAGUAGGCAAGCGUUGUCCGGAUUUAUUGGGCGUAAAGCGCAGGCAGGCGGUCGUAUCAGUCCAGGGUGACAGUUUCCGGCUUAACCGGAAAAGUGCUCUGGAGACGGUAUGACUUGAGGGCUUCAGAAGGAUGUGGAAUUCCAGGUGGAGUGGUGAAAUG
rnacentral:rRNA from 1 species